UGAUCAUCCAAGCCAAUCCAAUCAGUCCAUCACUUCCCACCCAAAAACAGACCCAAAAACAGACCUUGUUUCAGUGGUCACCGAAACAAGAACAAUGUACACAGGUAACCAAGAAAAAGCGCUGUGAGAAGUCCUCUAAUUCAAAUAAAGUGACUUGAUUCCACCAAACAGAUUGACAAUACUGAGAACAAACACUAAGGUAAAACGCUCCCUAAAAUGCUCUUUCACUUACUUUGAAUUGUGUAGUUUCUAGCUGUUUUUAUACUGGAGGCUAGCUGUUAUGUGUGAUAAUGUUGAUUACAGAAAUAUAUAUACAUAUCAGUGAUACAUCAUUUGAAUAUGCCAGGGAAACUGAAGCUAGUUGCUCUCCUCUUGCUCAUUCAAGCAUGUGUGUCCAUAGUGGCCCAGACGCCAGCCCCAGAGGACUCUGUCUCUGAGGGGGUUCUGCAGAGGGCAUCAGAGACAUACAGGGCAGCCAAAGUUAAAGCCCAGAGAAUAAGAGAGGCGGUGCAGGCCUUUGCUGGUGCGUACUACGAGGACCACAUCAAACCAGUGGCUGAUCCCUACAUCUACAUGGACUGGGCCUCAGCCUCCACCAGUUCCUUCUGGGACAGAGUCAAGGAGAAGAUCGACCAGUACAGACCCAUCUAAUGGCAACUGAAUCUUAGGCAGACGAACACCCACCCAGCUCACUGCCAGCACAUAUACUCAUGCAAGGUGAUACUAGGACUGAUUCUAUGUUCAUAUGCACUAGGGAUUACAACUAGGACAUUUGUGUUACAAUGUUUCAGAAGAGCGCUUCAACACGGUUGUAUAAUUUGGCCGGUGAACGAGGACACCCGUUUACUAGUGUUUCAUCAACCACAGCACAAGGGUUGUGAUAGUUUUAAAACUGCCAUAGAGUGUAUUAGUAAUCAAACCAUUAUGGCUCACAUAUUGCAUCUAAGUGAGUCAAUUAACUAUUGUGAACCACCAAAUGAAUGAACACUAAAUAAAAUAAAUUGUACAAUUAUAGUGUUGUGCCUUUUCAUAAACUUUCCCUUGACAC
ensembl:lncRNA